rnacentral:lncRNA from 1 species
AGCAGAGAGUCUAAGAGAGAGCACAAGCUCAAACUAAAUGUUGCCCAAAAGCAUUUUUCUGAGAUGCUCUUUUCCUAUGCUUCCUGGGGUCUAUCCUGGUCUUUAUGCCUCUUUGUGGCUGCUAGAAUCCCUCUUCUUGAGGAUUUCCUCUGCUUGGCUGCCUCUGCCACUUCUCUUUCUCACCCAUUGCAUCACAUCAAAGAUGCAGACUCUGAUAUAUACCCUAGCCUAAAGCUCUACUUCCCAGGAAUGGGGGCUCCCAACCAAUAGUCUCCCUGACCCCAGAUCACUCUCCAUCAAGCUCCUCCUAGCUUGUUCAAGGCAUCUUGUAGCCCGAAACAGUUGACACAAUAAAGAAUAAUUUUGCUUGGUUACAAUUUAUAAGUGUGUCUUGA